rnacentral:rRNA from 1 species
UACGGAGGGUGCAAGCGUUAUCCGGAUUCACUGGGUUUAAAGGGUGCGUAGGAGGGCAGGUAAGUCAGUGGUGAAAUCUCCGAGCUUAACUUGGAACUGCCGUUGAUACUAUCUGCCUUGAAUAUUGUGGAGGUGAGCGGAAUAUGUCAUGUAGCGGUGAAAUGCUUAGAUAUGACAUAGAACACCAAUUGCGAAGGCAGCUUACUACACUGUGAUUGACACUGAGGCACGAAAGCGUGGGGAUCAAACAGG